rnacentral:rRNA from 1 species
UGGGGAAUAUUGCACAAUGGGCGCAAGCCUGAUGCAGCGACGCCGCGUGAGGGAUGGAGGCCUUCGGGUUGUAAACCUCUUUCGCCAGUGAAGCAGGCCAUCUUCUUUGUGGGGUGGUUGACGGUAGCUGGAUAAGAAGCGCCGGCUAACUACGUGCCAGCAGCCGCGGUAAUACGUAGGGCGCGAGCGUUGUCCGGAAUUAUUGGGCGUAAAGAGCUCGUAGGCGGCUGGUCGCGUCUGUCGUGAAAUCCCCUGGCUUAACUGGGGGCUUGCGGUGGGUAUGGGCCGGCUUGAGUGCGGUAGGGGAGACUGGAAUUCCUGGUGUAGCGGUGGAAUGCGCAGAUAUCAGGAGGAACACCGGUGGCGAAGGCGGGUCUCUGGGCCGUUACUGACGCUGAGGAGCGAAAGCGUGGGGAGCGAACAGG